rnacentral:misc_RNA from 1 species
GGAAGUAAAAGUCGUAACAAGAUUUCCGUAGGUGAACCUGCGGAAGGAUCAUUAUUGGAUUUUGAAACUUCAGGCUGCUGCUGGCUCUCCUCGGAGGGCAUGUGCACGCUUGUUGUCCAUUAUUUCUCCCACUGUGCACAAAUUGUAGACCUUUCAGUAGGCCUAUGUUGUUUUUCACAAUCUCUGAAUGUAAUAGAAUGGUUUUGAAUCUUGGGAAAUACAAUACAACUUUCAGCAACGGAUCUCUUGGCUCUC